rnacentral:lncRNA from 1 species
UUUUCCACAACUGGGAUGCCUGCAUGUGAAAUAUAAAUUUUUUUUUUUUUUUUUUUUUUUUUUUUUUUUUUGUGCAGACGACGAAGGAGAAGGCGGCUGCAGAAAAAAAUAAAACGCCGAAACGGCACGUCAAUAAGAAAUAAUCUAUGAUUUGAAUGUAACACUUUUGUUUUAGGAUACGUCUAAUUGUUUCAGCAAAUCAAAUGUUGUUCAGCGAUUACUCGAAUUUGUGUUAGUCUUAUUUUGAGGAUUUCUUUAUUGGGCAUCCUGCAGUUAGCCACUGUUUGUUCGUUCCUUCAUCAUGGGUGAGUUUUUAGCUCAAACACCCAGGUAAAGGCAGUGCAUUAACAAAUGCCAUUCUGGUGUUCUUUUCAAUGGUGACAAGCGAAGAUGGUGUGAUUUAGCUAAUUCAGGUAACUUUGUGUUGGAUUUUCAGCUGCCAGACCAGUUGGACUUUGAAGCUUCCUUUCAGAAGAUCCUUCUGGGCAAGGACCUGCUGACUCAGGUGACUGUAAUAGAGGUGUGGACCACCUGCUCUCUGCCAUCACUGUGCGUGGGAAGCCCAGUAGCUGUUCCAGGUAGAAAACCCUGCAGGGGUUUGACAUGCUCUUCAAGGUGCCCACCAUCAGCCAGGUACUUUCUAUCAUCUCAUGGUUGGCUCACAGCAGCGCAUGAAGCUAGAAUACUGAGAAUGAUGGCUCUGGGUGUGCAUCCUGUGUACUAAAUGGAUUUUACAAGUGUAAAUGUAAAGUGAAAUCGAGAGCUGUGUGGUGUCACUGUCUGUGCAGAGCAUGACAAAAUGCAGAAAACCAUAUCUUCAUAGGUUACUCCUGUAUCUUUGCAUCAUUAGGACAGCACAUCCUCCCUCUUGGUCUCGGUGUUAAUGACCUUUAACCUCACUGAGGAGGAGUGACGUGAUGUAAAAGUGUCAGGACUUUUGUGUUUUAAAUAAAAUUAUUUAUUGAAGCUGGUCUGUUCA